AGCGAACGCUGGCGGCAGGCCUAACACAUGCAAGUCGAGCGCUCGUAGCAAUACGGGAGCGGCAGACGGGUGAGUAACACGUGGGAACGUACCCUUCGGUUCGGAAUAACUCAGGGAAACUUGAGCUAAUACCGGAUACGUCCGAGAGGAGAAAGAUUUAUCGCCGAGGGAUCGGCCCGCGUCUGAUUAGCUUGUUGGUGAGGUAACGGCUCACCAAGGCGACGAUCAGAGCUGGUCUGAGAGGAUGAUCAGCCACAUUGGGACGUGAGACACGGCCCAAACU
rnacentral:rRNA from 1 species